rfam:Myotis lucifugus cont2.23916, whole genome shotgun sequence.
GAGACACCCUUAUGGGGCAGGACUUGCUUCAGUGGGGCUUUGGUGCUCACUGAGCCUGCCCCCUGAGUGUGUCCCU